rnacentral:rRNA from 1 species
AGUGAACGCUGGCGGUAGGCCUAACACAUGCAAGUCGAACGGCAGCACAGUAAGAGCUUGCUCUUACGGGUGGCGAGUGGCGGACGGGUGAGGAAUACAUCGGAAUCUACUUUUUCGUGGGGGAUAACGUAGGGAAACUUACGCUAAUACCGCAUACGACCUACGGGUGAAAUCAGGGGAUCUUCGGACCCUGCGCGAUUGAAUGAGCCGAUGUCGGAUUAGCUAGUUGGCGGGGUAAAGGCCCACCAAGGCGACGAUCCGUAGCUGGUCUGAGAGGAUGAUCAGCCACACUGGAACUGAGACACGGUCCAGACUCCUACGGGAGGCAGCAGUGGGGAAUAUUGGACAAUGGGCGCAAGCCUGAUCCAGCCAUACCGCGUGGGUGAAGAAGGCCUUCGGGUUGUAAAGCCCUUUUGUUGGGAAAGAAAAGCAGCAGGUUAAUACCCCGCUGUUCUGACGGUACCCAAAGAAUAAGCACCGGCUAACUUCGUG